GCUCUUUCUCUCCAUAAAAGUUGUCCCAGGUCAAAGGCUUUUGCUGUUGUAUCUUAUUUCAUUUGGUAUUUGUGAAUUGUAGUUCCCGAGUGUGGUAGCCAUUGUUGCCUUAGUUUAUUUCUCUGUAUUAUCGUUGUUUUCCAGGCAGAAGUCUGAGUAAGGAGGGCAAGCAGCUCUUUGUGUAGGGAGCUACAAAGUGUUUUGCCAUGAAGCUGUUUUUCCAGUCUACUGUAAGUAGCCCAUCUCUGCCCUAUGCUCAGACUAUGUGCUCCUCAACCUUGGGUCCCAAGUCUCCCUAUUGAGAGCUUGCACUAUGCUCAUGGCAUAAUCCUUGGAACAUCAGCUAUAAAACUGAGACAGAGGGGUGGAGUCAAGAUGGUGGCUUAGAAGCAGCAGAAGUUCAGACUUCUGAAAACCCUUCCUUACUGAUCACAAACUGAAUGCUCCUGGGAGACUGAAAAUCAAACCUAACAACAGGACAGAGCCAAGGAACCCUCCUGCUGGACUCAGUCCAAAAGGUAUGCCCCCCCCAAAAGGCAGAAUCCAAGAACACUUGGGUUUAAGAGGAAGGCAGAAGGAAGGUCCCAGUAACCCAGGCCCCCACCUAGAGCACUAAGCCUCCAGUGGCAGCAGGAACCCCUGGGCUGGCAAUGGCACUGGUCUGGAGGGUGUACCUUGUGGGCAGGGCUG
rnacentral:lncRNA from 1 species